rnacentral:rRNA from 1 species
GGGCGCAKKYCUGAACCRSCCNNGUAGCGUGAAGGAUGACUGCCCUAUGGGUUGUAAACUUCUUUUAUAUGGGAAUAAAGUUUUCCACGUGUGGAAUUUUGUAUGUACCAUAUGAAUAAGGAUCGGCUAACUCCGUGCCAGCAGCCGCGGUAAUACGGAGGAUCCGAGCGUUAUCCGGAUUUAUUGGGUUUAAAGGGAGCGUAGGUGGACAGUUAWKUYAGUUGUGAAAGUUUGCGGCUCAACCGUAAAAUUGCAGUUGAUACUGGCUGUCUUGAGUACAGUAGAGGUGGGCGGAAUUCGUGGUGUAGNCGGUGAAAUGCUUAGAUAUCACGAAGAACUCC